GACGAACGCUGGCGGCGUGCCUAAUACAUGCAAGUCGAACGCUUUGAUUUUCACCGGAGCUUGCUCCACCGAAAAUCAAAGAGUGGCGGACGGGUGGGUAACACGUAGGCAACCUGCCCAACAGAGGGGGAUAACACUUGGAAACAGGUGCUAAUACCGCAUAAUUUGUUUUUCCGCAUGGAAGAAUAAUAAAAGACGCUUCGGUGUCACUGUUGGAUGGGCCCGCGCUGCAUUAGUUAGUUGGUGGGGUAACGGCCUACCAAGACCAUGAUGCAUAGCCGACCUGAGAGGGUGAUCGGCCACACUGGGACUGAGACACGGCCCAGACUCCUACGGGAGGCAGCAGUAGGGAAUCUUCGGCAAUGGACGAAAGUCUGACCGAGCAACGCCGCGUGAGUGAAGAAGGUUUUCGGAUCGUAAAACUCUGUUGUUAGAGGAGAACAAGUGAGAGAGUUACUGUUCUCACCUUGACGGUAUCUAACCAGAAAGCCACGGCUAACUACGUGCCAGCAGCCGCGGUAAUACGUAGGUGGCAAGCGUUGUCCGGAUUUAUUGGGCGUAAAGCGAGCGCAGGCGGUUUCUUAAGUCUGAUGUGAAAGCCCUCGGCUCAACCGAGGAAGGUCAUUGGAAACUGGGGAACUUGAGUGCAGAAGAGGAGAGUGGAAUUCCAUGUGUAGCGGUGAAAUGCGUAGAUAUAUGGAGGAACACCAGUGGCGAAGGCGACUCUCUGGUCUGUAACUGACGCUGAGGCUCGAAAGCGUGGGGAGCAAACAGG
rnacentral:rRNA from 1 species